CUCCUACUAAUGUCUUAAUUCCUCCAAGCUGCUCAUACCAACUUCCAAACCAACUACUUAGGUUAUACCCAUUCCAGACCUGAGUAGGUACAUGCUCAAAUUUAACCAUGUGGCUUGUAAAUUCAGCCACUGCCUGCCCUUCAUCAUCUAUGUGCAGACAACAGUUACUUAGAUUAAACUUUCCGCAUACACCUCCUUCUACUGCUAGUAAGUAAUCAAGGGCUAGCCUAUUCUGGUAUAUGGCUGAUCACAUCUUGGUAUUUUGCUUAGCUAGAAGAUUAAGCACUUGAGCUGUGUCAUUAGUAAU